rnacentral:tRNA from 1 species
UGGUGCCGAGGACCGGAAUCGAACCGGUACGAUAAUCACUUAUCGCAGGAUUUUAAGUCCUGUGCGUCUGCCAGUUCCGCCACCCCGGC